AGUGCAACAACAACUCCUCCUCUAUAAAAAGGGGUCCGGGGCACCAAGUAUGCAGAUCAAAUUAUUCUCCCUCAUACUUUCUUCUCCCACAAGUCUCUCAUUCUCUUACUAUUGUGAAUUUCCUACUCGUUCCCACUCUAAAUAUUUCCUCUUUGACUUAAGCAUCAGAGAACUCGAUUGGAGCAGAUCCAACAAGUCCUCUAAUCCUUUAUUGUCCUACAAAUCGAUGAAAGCACUCCACAUC
rnacentral:lncRNA from 1 species